CCUACGGGGGGCAGCAGUGAGGAAUAUUGGUCAAUGGACGAGAGUCUGAACCAGCCAAGUAGCGUGAAGGAUGACUGCCCUAUGGGUUGUAAACUUCUUUUAUAUGGGAAUAAAAUGUUCCACGUGUGGGAUUUUGUAUGUACCAUAUGAAUAAGGAUCGGCUAACUCCGUGCCAGCAGCCGCGGUAAUACGGAGGAUCCGAGCGUUAUCCGGAUUUAUUGGGUUUAAAGGGAGCGUAGGUGGAUUGUUAAGUCAGUUGUGAAAGUUUGCGGCUCAACCGUAAAAUUGCAGUUGAAACUGGCAGUCUUGAGUACAGUAGAGGUGGGCGGAAUUCGUGGUGUAGCGGUGAAAUGCUUAGAUAUCACGAAGAACUCCGAUUGCGAAGGCAGUUCACUGGACUGCAACUGACACUGAGGCUCGAAAGUGUGGGUAUCAAACAUGAUUAGAUACCCUAGUAGUC
rnacentral:rRNA from 1 species